GACUUUUUAAAUUUGAACUCUAAUUGGUGUUGAAUUUAAAUUUCUUAUAAAAUUUUCUUAUUUGUUGGUAAAAUAAUGAUAUUUGUUUCUAUGUAUUUGAAUUUAUAAUAUUUGAUAAAAGAAACGGAUUAGUACCCGUGUAUUCAAAAUUUAAAAAGGCAGGAGUAAAGUUAUAUUUAAACUGAAAGGAUAUUGGCAGAUCUUUAAAUAAUCUUUGGAGGUUGAGUAGUAAUUGAGAACCCCCAUUUUUAGCUUUUAUUUUAGGUUCAUGUAUGAUCGUUUAUUUAAUUUUUAAGAAUUGCGAUAAAAAAUAUUUAAUUAUAAAAACAGAUAAAUACUUGGUAUAUUAUAAAAGAUUUAAUUUGACCUACAUUAUAUAGUUUUGUGGAUUUUAAAGAUAGAUUUUAAAUGAAAAUGUAAAAGACAGUAAGAUUAAUUUAAUAGUAAUCUGAAGUUUAUUUAGAGAU
rnacentral:rRNA from 1 species